rnacentral:tRNA from 1 species
GCAGUGGCGGUUCCAUGGUAGAACUCUCGACUACCAUUCGAGAGACCCAGGUUUAAUUCCUAGCCAAUGCA